GAACCAUUGCCUGUUUAUGAACAAACAAACCAUUAAGACCCUUGGGGAAAUGGAAUACUCUGGUCCCACCAACAUUGAGCAGGAUGAAGAAAUUCAAAGGAAUCAAAGGAACCCUUCAAUUUUCAUCUCAGCUCCAUCGAAACCAACGAAAGCUGCCCCAUGUAAACCACAGCUGCAUCACUGGGUGUGACACUGAACAUCAGAAUCACCCACACGGGACUCAGGUCAGCACUGAAAGAGAAAAUCCAGUGGGGCUUUACACUUUGCUCCAAACGAAGAUGAUCACUGUCCCAGUUCUCAG
rnacentral:lncRNA from 1 species